UACGGAGGGUGCAAGCGUUACGUCGGAUUUACUGGGUUUAAAGGGUGCGUAGGCGGGCCUGUAAGUCAGUGGUGAAAUCUUCCCGCUUAACGGGAAAACUGCCAUUGAUACUAUAGGUCUUGAAUUCAGUUGAGGUGGGCGGAAUGUGUCGUGUAGCGGUGAAAUGCUUAGAUAUGUAAUAGAACACCGAUUGCGAAGGCAGUUCACUAGGCCUGUAUUGACACUGAGGCACGAAAGCGUGGGGAUCAAACAGG
rnacentral:rRNA from 1 species